UCGAUAUUCGACCCUAGGUAAAUGUGCCCCUAAUUGUGCCCCUAAUUGUGAACUUGAGUUUCAUGAUUCAAUGACUGGUUCUCCCAAGUGCUGCAAAACUACAAUACCCCAUCAUUGCUUAAUAGGGAUGUUGGGAGUUGUAGUACUGAAAGGGACAAAUGCUGUGUGCAUUACAGAUUUCUCAGGCAGCAAAUAGUUAAUAAUCACACCCCGCCUCUGUUGCUCCACCUCCUUUUCCUUCUCUAGGUUUCCCAUUCACUGUCAGGCAUCAGAACAAGGAAGUGUCUCUCAUUCAUUCUGCUAGGAAACUCUGGGCGAGAGAGAGGGCAGGAUCGGUGAGGAACUCAUUCAACCUCCAAGUGACCAUCAUGUGAAAAUCCAAGUAAAAGCAUGUUCACUGAGCUGCAUUAACACAAAGCUCAUGUCUGAACUAAAUGUUGGCAAAGAAAUUGUACCAGUGGGAAGAGAAGUGGCAGAAGUGAUACUGGAAAGUAAGUUACCUUCAGGUAAAUAAACAGUGUUUUGAGCUUGCCAGAAUUUGUGGGGCAUUCUAGACCACAACUGCAGGGUGGGCUACGCUGAUGUCAAGUAUUAAUCUUGACUUCUUGCUCUACUGUUGUUGCUCUACCUUAUUUUGAACAUUUUAGUGCCCUGGGUAGUUACUCCUGUUUGCAGCCACCCACAUUUAGAACAUUUUUUUUAGAUAAUUUCAAGGUAGGGUCAUUAGCAAGCAACUUGGAACAAAGUUCCAAGUUGAUCAGCCAAAAAGAAGAACUGAAUUGUCCAGUGACCCAAAUUGUGUGCCCUCUAAUCAGCCAGCAAGAUGUUUAACUAGAACCAGGGCCAAAACUAGGAGUAGGUAGAAAUGUUGUGUAGGUUGGCACUGGGCACAGCCAUUUUUAUCGUGCCUGUUGCUGACCAAUGUGGGGGGUGGAGGUGAUGUGUUUUGGGCACCUUUAACUUUGGGCCCAGCACUCAUCAGAACACUGCUGAAAGCUAUCUACAUGUAUGGCUAAAAUAAUAUCUUACUUACGCUUUAUGGGUUGGAUAUGCCUAUACUAUGCUUAAUAUAGGGCAAUAUCUGUGCUUGCUUAGUUUAAGGUCAUCUUCCUGUACAGGAUGUAAGAAAAUCUACAGUGGUGUCCCUUCUAUGGAGAGUUUCAUUUUGAGAUUGUCACACCUCCAAUUACAUUGUACCAUGCCUCUUGGAUUGCUAAACAAUGCCCCCUACUGAUUUAUUGUCAGAGGAUUAUAGUGCAAUAGGAAGCUGUGAGAGUUGAUAAUGGAAUGUUUUAGUCAGAUAGAAAGACUGAAAUAUGAGUCAGUGACAGCUUCAUAGAAACUAGAGAAAAAUCAAAUGGUAAGCAAAUAUACAUUCAACUCUUAGGACUAGUCCACACGAGGAGAUUCAGGGAGAUUUUGUCGCCUGGCGACUAAUCGCCUUGUCUUUUGAGCGACUAUCUCCCUGAACUGCCUCGAGGCAACUUCGGGC